CUAAAAGGAUACACUUACAAUCUACUUAAUACAUUUAUGUUUAAGAUGGAAACAUAAUUGUAUUGUUUUAAUUCUAAAUGAAAUUCAACAUAAUCAUCAAAACAUGAUAUAAUCACUUUGCAAGAAAAUGUUCAAAUUGUUUCAGAUGUCAAACAAAUGGUGUUCAUGUAAAAUGAUUUUUUUCUGCCGUUUGAUUUAUUUAAUUAAAAUAGGCCCAUGUCACACAAUUACUUUGUAUUUUCUUCUCAACUUAAUUCCAUUGUGUAGGCUAUAAUUAAUUUAAUUCAGGUUUGUGAAAUACGUCGUUUGCGCGGGAGCAACGCGCGCGAGAGCGUCUGCGCAUGCGCUUUGAAAUCCAGACCACACCAGGACCGUUGGUUUGGAAAGGACACAUGAGGGUACUGACUGUCUUGUUUUCAGAGCUCGUUAAAAGUGACAUUUGCUGUACAUUUGGAAUUCCAAAGCCUGUUCAGACAAAUUACGAGCUAAGUCAGUCCCCAACAAAGGCAGUUAGCCUUGUAGAAGUUUGGCUGACUAUUUGAUUGGACAUGUGCAGAUGGUAACGUUAAAGAGAUUUUUCUGCUGCAAAGGAUGACAUUGAUGCAGCUUGUGAACUUGCCAUCAGAGGACUGUGUAUCUAUCUUAAUGAGGACUCUAAAGAUCUCAUUCAGGAGUAUGCGGACAUGGAAGAAGAUCUUUUACAGUGUGCGAUUGAGAAGACUACCAUGGGCAUCUUCCUGAUAAAGCACACUGCAGACUAUGAACCCCAUGAUGUAGACAUUGUGCUAGAGGGUGUAGCAGUGCUUCAGGACAUCGACAGUGUGGAUUUUGCAACUCCAAUGUUUUUGGUCUAAUUUAUGCUCUUAACCUGCAGUACCCCACAAAGUUGCGUUUUACAUAUGAAAUUUAGCAAAAACUCAUCAUGGACUUGGAUGCGGGUGAAUUCUCUAUCAAGGCCCAAAAUUUCAAAUCUGAUUUUUGAAUGACUACUGAG